GACGAACGCUGGCGGCGUGCUUAACACAUGCAAGUCGAACGGAAAGGCCCUGCUUUUGUGGGGUGCUCGAGUGGCGAACGGGUGAGUAACACGUGAGUAACCUGCCCUUGACUUUGGGAGAACUUCAGGAAACUGGGGCUAAUACCGGAUAGGAGCUCCUGCUGCAUGGUGGGGGUUGGAAAGUUUCGGCGGUUGGGGAUGGACUCGCGGCUUAUCAGCUUGUUGGUGGGGGAGUGGCUUACCAAGGCUUUGACGGGUAGCCGGCCUGGGAGGGUGACCGGCGACCUUGGGCCUGCGAUAGGGCCCAGACUCCUACGGGAGGCAGCAGUGGGGAGUCUUGCACAGUGGGCGGAAGCCUGAUACAGCAACGCCGCGUGCGGGAUGACGGCCUUCGGGUUGUAAACCGCUUUCGCCUGUGACGAAGCGUGAGUGACGGUACUGGGUAAAGAAGCACCGGCUAACUACGUG
rnacentral:rRNA from 1 species